rnacentral:rRNA from 1 species
ACGGCCAUACCAUGCUGAAUAUAUCGGUUCUCGUUAGAUCACCGAAGUCAAGCAUCAUUGGGCGCGGUCAGUACUUGGGUGGGUGACCACCUGGGAACACCGC